UGAUCCAGCCAUGCCGCGUGUGUGAAGAAGGUCUUCGGAUUGUAAAGCACUUUAAGUUGGGAGGAAGGGCUGUAAGCGAAUACCUUGCUGUUUUGACGUUACCGACAGAAUAAGCACCGGCUAACUCUGUGCCAGCAGCCGCGGUAAU
rnacentral:rRNA from 1 species